AGAGUUUGAUCCUGGCUCAGAACGAACGCUGGCGGCGUGGAUAAGACAUGCAAGUCGAACGGGAUUAGUUGUGUAGCAAUACAUGGCUGGUUCAGUGGCGAACGGGUGCGUAACACGUGAACAAUCUGCCGGAAAGUGGGGGGAUAGCUCGCCGAAAGGCGAAUUAAUACCGCAUAUGGCCAGGGGUGGCAACACUCCGACGCUAAAGUCGCAAGACGCUUUCUGAUGAGUUCGCGGCCUAUCAGCUUGUUGGUGAGGUAACGGCUCACCAAGGCUAUGACGGGUAGCUGGUCUGAGAGGACGACCAGCCACACUGGAACUGAGACACGGUCCAGACACCUACGGGUGGCAGCAGUCGAGAAUUUUUCACAAUGGGGGAAACCCUGAUGGAGCGACGCCGCGUGGAGGACGAAGGCCUUCGGGUUGUAAACUCCUGUCAUGCGGGAACAAGAAAGUGAUAGUACCGCAAGAGGAAGAGACGGCUAACUCUGUGCCAGCAGCCGCGGUAAUACAGAGGUCUCAAGCGUUGUUCGGAUUCAUUGGGCGUAAAGGGUGCGCAGGCGGCGUGGUAAGUUGAGUGUGAAAUCUCGGAGCUUAACUCCGAAACUGCACUCAAUACUGCCAUGCUCGAGGACUGUAGAGGAGAGUGGAAUUCACGGUGUAGCAGUGAAAUGCGUAGAUAUCGUGAGGAAGACCAGUUGCGAAGGCGACUCUCUGGGCAGUUCCUGACGCUCAUGCACGAAGGCCAGGGGAGCAAACGGGAUUAGAUACCCUAGUAGUCC
rnacentral:rRNA from 1 species